GGUGCGAGCGUUAAUCGGAAAUUACUGGGCGUAAAGCGCACGUAGGCUGUAUAUCAAGUCAAGGGUGAAAUCCCCGGGCUCAACCUGGGAACUGCCUUUGAAACUGGUAAACUGGAGUAUGUGAGAGGGUGGCGGAAUUCCUGGUGUAGGAGUGAAAUCCGUAGAUAUCAGGAGGAACAUCAGUGGCGAAGGCGGCCACCUGGCACAAAACUGACGCUGAGGUGCGAAAGCGUGGGUAGCAAACAGGAUUAGAUACCCUGGUAGUCCACGCUGUAAACGAUGGAUACUGGGUGUUGGGAUGUAUGUCUCGGCGCCGUAGCUAACGCGUUAAGUAUCCCGCCUGGGGAGUACGGUCGCAAGGCUGAAACUCAAAGAAAUUGACGGGGGCCCGCACAAGCGGUGGAGUAUGUGGUUUAAUUCGAUGCAACGCGAAGAACCUUACCCAGGCUUGACAUCUAGGGAGCCUCUUUGAAAGAAGAGGGUGCUCUUCGGAGAACCCUAAGACAGGUGCUGCAUGGCUGUCGUCAGCUCGUGCCGUGGGGUGUUGGGUUAAGUCCCGCAACGAGCGCAACCCCUGUCCUUAGUUGCCAUCGAGUAAGGUCGGGCACUCUAAGGAGACCGCCCCGGUUAACGGGGAGGAAGGUGGGGACGACGUCAAGUCAUCAUGGCCCUUACGCCUGGGGCUACACACGUACUACAAUGGCGCAUACAAAGGAAGCGAGACCGCGAGGUGGAGCCAAUCUCAAAAAAUGCGUCCCAGUCCGGAUUGGAGUCUGCAACUCGACUCCAUGAAGUCGGAAUCGCUAGUAAUUCUGGAUCAGCAUGCCAGGGUGAAUGCGUUCCCGGGCCUUGUACACACCGCCCGUCACACCACGAAAGUCGGUUUUACCCGAAGCCGGUGAGCCAACAAGCAAUUGAGGCAUCCGUCUACGGUAGGCCCGAUGAUUGGGGUGAAGUCGUAACAAGGUAGC
rnacentral:rRNA from 1 species